AUGCNNNGGCGAUGAGCUCUUCGGGAGUGGAUUAGCGGCGGACGGGUGAGUACACGUGGGUACCUGCCUCAUAGAGGGGAAUAGCCUUUCGAAAGGAAGAUUAAUACCGCAUAAGAUUGUAGUACCGCAUGGUAAGCAAUUAAAGGAGUAAUCCGCUAUGAGAUGGACCCGCGUCGCAUUAGCUAGUUGGUGAGGUAACGGCUCACCAAGGCGACGAUGCGUAGCCGACCUGAGAGGGUGAUCGGCCACAUUGGGACUGAGACACGGCCCAGACUCCUACGGGAGGCAGCAGUGGGGAAUAUUGCACAAUGGGGGAAACCCUGAUGCAGCAACGCCGCGUGAGUAAUGACGGUCUUCGGAUUGUAAAGCUCUGUCUUUAGGGACGAUAAUGACGGUACCUAAGGAGGAAGCCACGGCUAACUACGUGCCAGCAGCCGCGGUAAUACGUAGGUGGCAAGCGUUGUCCGGAUUUACUGGGCGUAAGGGAGCGUAGGUGGAUAUUUAAGUGGGAUGUGAAUACCCGGGCUUAACCUGGGUGCUGCAUUCAAACCUGGAUAUCUAGAGUGCAGGAGAGGAAAGGAGAUUCCUAGUGUGCGUGAAUGCGUAGAGAUUAGGAGAUACAGUGCGAGGCCGCUUUCUGGACUGUAACUGACCUGAGGCUCGAAGCGUGGGAGCAAACAGGAUUAGGAUACCUUGGUAGUCCACGCCGUAACGAUGAAUACUAGUGUAGGGGUUGUCAUGACCUCUGUGCCGCCCUAACGCAUUAAGUAUCCGCUGGGAGUACGUCGCAGAUUAAAACUCAAAGGAAUUGACGGGGGCCCGCACAAGCAGCGGAGCAUGUGGUUUAAUUCGAAGCAACGCGAAGAACCUUACCUAGACUUGACAUCUCCUGAAUUACUCUGUAAUGGAGGAACCCACUUCGGUGGCAGGAAGACAGGUGGUGCAUGGUUGUCGUCAGCUCGUGUCGUGAGAUGUUGGGUUAAGUCCCGCAACGAGCGCAACCCUUAUUGUUAGUUGCUACCAUUUAGUUGAGCACUCUAGCGAGACUGCCCGGGUUAACCGGGAGGAAGGUGGGGAUGACGUCAAAUCAUCAUGCCCCUUAUGUCUAGGGCUACACACGUGCUACAAUGGUCGGUACAAUGAGAUGCAACCUCGCGAGAGUGAGCAAAACUAUAAAACCGAUCUCAGUUCGGAUUGUAGGCUGAAACUCGCCUACAUGAAGCUGGAGUUGCUAGUAAUCGCGAAUCAGAAUGUCGCGGUGAAUACGUUCCCGGGCCUUGUAGCAGAAACGCCCGACACACCAUGAGAGUUGGAAAUACCGAAAGUUCGUGGAGUAAGCGCAAGGAGGCAGCA
rnacentral:rRNA from 1 species